GGGACAGUGGGACUAUUAUUUGCCGAGGUGAUAAAUUAUAUUCAAUCUGCACGUGGAACUAAAACUAUGCUAUGUUCCAUAAAUACACUCAUCAAUGCCCAAGGGCUCAAUGCACAUAAGCUCAAUAUGUAAUGUUUAUAAAAACAGUACGUAUCGGACAAUUAUAUGAAGACUGCAUAUUACUAUUGAUGUUGCGACAAAACUAGCCAGUUAUGUCUGCCCCUCAGAACCAGCUGAAGGUUGAAUCUCUUGAGUUGACCCAUUGUGCCCGACCCUUCCAAGCUGAAUUCCCAGAGAAGAACUUUCAUGAGAACUUGGUUGGUUAGAUCCACCUCUUGCUGCUGCUGUUGCUCCUUUUAGGCCUUUCUUUCUCUUCACCUUCUCAGCCCAACCGACAAGGCCAGCUUGGACAUGCUCAUCAAAUAUUGCUUUCUUGUAUGAACUUCCCAUCUUCAUUUCAUUGCAAACAGAAAUGGUCAUGACAAUUUUGCAAAAAGAUAUACAGUUAAUAUUUAAAAACAGCUCUACGAACCUGUGUGACAAUGGCAUAAAGUGGAAGGGUGCUGUAACUGCAUAGUAUCUGAAUGAACACCCUAAAUGAAGGGUAAAAGAAAAUAAAAGAGCAUCAUCAAAAUACACUGCACUAAAAUCCUCAAAUACUUGAAGGUAGUUCUCCACCUAAAUCUAAUAGGACUAAAAGGAAAAAGGUACAAGAAAUCUACCCAAUAAUUAGCCUGGGGACAAUAUAUCGGACUUGUCCCAUUAUGCAGGAAUCAAAGCCAUAUUGAACCUACAGAGGUGUAAAAGCAAGAGAGAUUAUGUAAAUCUCAACAAAUCCUUAUGAAAAGCAGACCAAAAAUCAGCUUUACCCAUAUCCAGAAGAAAAAUGCAAUCUCAAAAGCAUUUUGGAAGAGGAUGAAAUGAAUCAAGAACAAGACAAUGUCAGGUCGGUUGAACCAAAAGUGCUCAUCUGAUGGUUUAACUACCAAGUCCCCUUCUAUGGCUACAUGUUUCUCAGCAACAUCAUGAGCCAAUUGGGUGAUUACAUGCUCCAACUUGGUGCCAACAGCAAGUAGAAGCUGGAAAACCAAAAAAGUAAGUGAAACUUGGCACAAAUGGAACAAAAGAUUGAAAAGCAAAAAUAAUUAAUUCAAUUAAUGCAAAUGAAGUUCCGAGCUAUGCAUGCAAAAUGGUCAUGAGCAAGUAAACUUCAUACUCAGCAGAUUUACUCAAGUAAAAAAUUCCCAAUUACGCUAACUUAUCCACCAAAAAUAGUGACGCUAAAUUUAGGGCUGUUUUGUUUAUGUAACAAUAAUCUAGCAAUGCCUUUGUGAUUAUCAACCCAGAACAUUGCAUAUUUACAGCAAUAAGCCAAAAAAGAAACUAUUUCAGUAAUAUUUUUCUUUUCACCUUACCAAAACACUACAGAGUGCAUGACUCCAGUUAAACGUGAUAUUAGGCAACUUAGCUGAAACUUUGAAAGGGAGAAAGCACAAGAGAGAAAGAAGCCUACUCACAAGGAAAGGAAGGAAUGCUAUCCAGAAAUAUGUAUGCCAACCUACAAAAAGGAGAAAACUAUAUCAUCAGAAGUGAAAUCUUGCAGCAAAACAUACCAUGAAAGGCAGUUAGAUAAUGUAAAAAUCAUAAAACAACUGUUAGCAUAACAUUUAGAAUCUAUACAAAAACUAAGAAUGCACAAUAGCAUAAGAAUUCCUGCUACUAUUGCACUCAAAAAUCAAUAUCGAGGUACACUGUACAUGUCUGAGGGUUGGACUAGGGGUGUAAUCAAUCCUAGUUGAGUCAAUACUAUAUACAAUGUGGUACUCCAACUUGAGCUCAACCAAGUUCCAUAAUUCAUGCUUUAAUUAAGCUCAAUGGGAUACUCAAAAUACUCAAGCUAAACUUGAUCACCAUUGAAAAUUUAGGUAAUCUUGUUUUCUAAUUGCGAAUUAAAGAUCAAGUUCAAGCUGCAUUCAUAAAUUAUUAUAUAUAUACAAUAAUAUAUUUCAGCUCAUGAGCCACAUCAAGUCAAGCAUCGUAAUAGUUUAACUUGGCCCAACUCACUAUUUAGUCUACUCUAGUACUUGCUUGACUCAAUUAAAACCAAAUCAAAAUCAAAUAUUCUAGGAAUGGAGUCUGAGCAACUUAGAAAUAGUUUGACUUACUUAUACCUCUAGGUUGAACUCACAUAUUUUCAAAUAUUUUCAUAAACUUCUCCCAAAUUAACUCUAGCAACCAACCCUUGUUUCACAUCCCCUAUAACUUAGAAUACUAAAUUAACUCUCUUCUCCAGUGUUAUUGGGCCAAGACCCAAGAUUGAUUAAGCUGCAGAAGUUCGAAGUGAUAUCAGAUACAAAAGUGGAUGUUAAAAAAGGAAUAAUGCCAGCACUUGGAAGUCGGCACUAAGUUAUGAAAUGAAAGAACUGAUCAGUGGAGAAGCAUACCUACCAUUAACAUUCAGCAAUAAGAAGAUGACCACAAAUAUCCAAAGAUACCAA
rnacentral:misc_RNA from 1 species